AUAUAUUUGCUGUAUCAUGUAUGUUUAAUUGUUCAUAUCAUUCCAAGCUAUGCAGGCCUAUACAUGUGUUGACUAAAGGCUCAAAGGUGAAUUAAUUUGCAUUGAAUUGAUGCUGAGCUUAAAAUAACACUUCUGAACACAUGAUGAAAUCACGCCAUUUGAUAAGGAAAGUCACCCAUUGACUCGUCAACUUUGUAGAUCUUUCCAUGACAACAGACCAAACAAAACACUUCAGCGUGGACUUCAGUGUUGACUUAGAACAAUUUGGGAAAACCCAGAUGUAUGUCUGUAGGCCUACUGGGACAAAUGUAGUUGAUAUAAUAUCGAUACGCGAUUUGCCAGGAUUAAAAACAGCCUUUUAUUGCUGUUGAUAAGAUAUAUUUAGUAAAAAAUAGACUUAUUAGGACAAGAUACAGAUAUUGAAAGUGCAUGUUUUGUUUCAUUGGGUGCAACCUGCUUGCAUGUGACAGAAUAUCAAAGUCCUUUGUGAAUCAUUAACUUGUAAGGUUUGAGUCAAUGCCAUAUAUGGACAUUUAUCGAGAGAUUAAUUUGCAUAAUUUAGUUCCGUCAAGUGGUCAUGAGAUCGGUGGGUGUAGCAGCUGCAGUGCUUUAGUGUCGUCUUGGAUGCCUCUGAAUCCACCCGCUUCAAACCUAACUGACCUCCAUUUGUGGCUGGGUGAUCCAAAGUACCAUGGCUGCACAAUCUGAAGCAGCCUGCCAGACUGAUGUCCCUACCACGAUGCAACAGGAGGCACAGGUACCCGCCCCCUCAGCUGCAACAGAUUCCCCACAACGAACUGGAGCCACCGGAAACAUAGGCUCAGUCAGCGGUAGCCACAACCCUACCAUUAUUGGUGCAAGUGUAGUUAGCUUCACUUAUG